AGCAAACACAGCAUCCCUGUGUCUGAAGAUGAUGCCACUGACAGACCUAUGACAGAGGCCUCUGGGUGACCGGUGACAGUGACACAAGGCACUCUGGCCACACCAUCUUGUGAGACCCGGUGUCCACCUGCGAGGGAAGAGGACUGGCCUCAGUCCAAGGACCAUGUGGACGCUUCAGAGGACCCAGGGGUAGCGCGGCUUUGACCUUGGCCUCGUCCAGCCAGCCCUCUCUGGGAUCCAGGGAGCACCUGCCCUCUGCAGAGCGCUGGAAGCGGGGACCUCAGGUUCCUCACCGGAGGGUGGGCCAACCCGGGAAGCCUGGGUGUGCGAGGUGACCCCGCCCAUUGAGUGACCCCGCCCACGUGGGGUCCAAGGCAGAUGCGGACUGUGGGCAGAGACUCGUCGGGGGAACCGGGUUGGCCGAACCGUCUGAGCCGCGUGGGGGGGCGGGGCGAGGCCUGUGGGGGCGGAGCCCCGGCGAGGAGGGCCGCCCCUGCGCCCCUGGGGGAGAUGGAUGCUCCGCAGGUCCGCGGGCGCCGGGGGCGGGGAAAGCGCCUGUGUAGCUGCUCCCUGGCCCCGCCCGGGAGCCGGCGGGAGGCGGGGCUGCCCCCUUCCUCCCACACGGGCGCGGGGCUGAGCCCGGAGCGGAGAAGCGGAGUCGGCUCUGAGCUCCCUGCUGGGUUUUAGGUGGCGGCAGGCGGAGGAGGAAUAUGGCGCUCGUAGGCAACGGAGCCGAGCUGGAAGCGGACGAGGUUUUCUUGGGAAUUACACAAGCAACAUUGACAUCAGGUUCAUGAAAGGUAGACAGAAAUUGUGCAAGGUCAAUACCACAAAUCUAUGGCAAAUAGAUGGCUCCGACUGGAGGACCACCAGUUGCUUGAUCUUGAAGUUGUAUCUCUCUUGGUGAACUCCUCAUUCUUAGGGGCUUUUGGCCGCCCUUCUUGCUAUGUUUGGCUCUCUGUGCUUUUGUGUGAUUUUGGAUUUGAGAAUUAAAUAAAAAUAGUUUGUUUACAUUUUA